rnacentral:rRNA from 1 species
GAAAACGACUGCUAAGACUGGAUAGGAAAUAAAAAGGCAUCUUUUUAUUUUUAAAAGACCUUUUUCGAAAGGUAUGCUUAAAGAUGAGCUUGCGCCACAUUAGUUUGUUGGUGGGGUAAUGGCCUACCAAGACGAUGAUGUGUAGCUGGACUGAGAGGUCGAACAGCCACAUUGGGACUGAGACACGGCCCAAACUCCUACGGGAGGCAGCAGUAGGGAAUUUUCGGCAAUGGAGGAAACUCUGACCGAGCAACGCCGCGUGAACGAUGAAGUAUUUCGGUAUGUAAAGUUCUUUUAUUGAAGAAGAAAAAAUAGUGGAAAAACUAUCUUGACGUUAUUCAAUGAAUAAGCCCCGGCUAACUAUGUGCCAGCAGCCGCGGUAAGACAUAGGGGGCGAGCGUUAUCCGGAAUUAUUGGGCGUAAAGGGUGCGUAGGCGGUUAGGAAAGUCUAUAAUUUAAUUUCAGUGCUUAACGCUGUCUUGUUAUAGAAACUACCUUGACUAGAGUUAGAUAGAGGCAAGCGGAAUUCCAUGUGUAGCGGUAAAAUGUGUAAAUAUAUGGAGGAACACCAGAAGCGUAGGCGGCUUGCUGGGUCUUGACUGACGCUGAGGCACGAAAGCGUGGGUAGCAAACAGGAUUAGAUACCCUGGUAGUCCACGCCGUAAACGAUGAGUACUAAGUGUCGGGAUAAAACUCGGUACUGAAGUUAACACAUUAAGUACUCCGCCUGAGUAGUACGUACGCAAGUAUGAAACUUAAAGGAAUUGACGGGACUCCGCACAAGCGGUGGAUCAUGUUGUUUAAUUCGAAGAUACACGAAAAAUCUUACCAGGUCUUGACAUGCUCUGCAAAGCUAUAGAAAUAUAGUGGAGGUUAUCAGGGACACAGGUGGUGCAUGGUUGUCGUCAGUUCGUGUCGUGAGAUGUUAGGUUAAGUCCUAAAACGAGCGCAACCCUUGUCGUUAGUUACCAGCACGUAAUGGUGGGCACUUUAACGAGACUGCCAAUUAAACAUUGGAGGAAGGUGAGGAUUACGUCAAAUCAUCAUGCCCCUUAUGAUCUGGGCUACAAACGUGAUACAAUGGCUGUUACAAAGAGUAGCUGAAGCGCGAGUUUUUAGCCAAUCUCAAAAAAGCAGUCUCAGUUCGGAUUGAAGUCUGUAACUCGACUUCAUGAAGUUGGAAUCGCUAGUAAUCGCGAAUCAGCAUGUCGCGGUGAAUACGUCCACGGGGUUUGUACACACCGCCCGUCA